UACGUAGGGGCUAGCGUUAUCCGGAUUUACUGGGCGUAAAGGGUGCGUAGGCGGUCUUUCAAGCCAGAAGUGAAAGGCUACGGCUCAACCGUAGUAAGCCUUUGAAACUGGGAAACUUGAGUGCAGGAGAGGAGAGUUGAAUUCCUAGUGUAGCGGUGAAAUGCGUAGAUAUUAGGAGGAACACCAGUUGCGAAGGCGGCUCUCUGGACUGUAACUGACACUGAGGCACGAAAGCGUGGGGAGCAAACAGGAUUAGAUACCCUGGUAGUCUCU
rnacentral:rRNA from 1 species